rnacentral:piRNA from 1 species
UGAUGUUUGUAUGUUAAUCAAUUGUCCAU